GCCUGUUCGAGCGUCAUUAUAACCCUCAAGCCUAGCUUGGUGUUGGAGCAUGCCUUCUGGCAGCUCUUAAAAUCAGUGGCAGUGCCCUUCGGCUCUAAGCGUAGUAACUUCUCUCGCUAUGGACGUCGCUGGAUACGCGCCAGAACCCCUAAUUUUCUAUGGUUGACCUCGGAUCAGGUAGGGAUACCCGCUGAACUUAA
rnacentral:misc_RNA from 1 species